rnacentral:rRNA from 1 species
CNGUNUGAACUCAGAUCACGUAAGAAAUUAAAAGUCGAACAGACUUAAAAAUUAAGCUACUACACCUAAUAUUAUCUCUUAAUCCAACAUCGAGGUCGCAAUCUUUUUUAUCAAUAAGAACUUUCCAAAAAAAUUACGCUGUUAUCCCUAAAGUAACUUAAUUUUAUAAUCAAUAAUAAAAGAUCACUAAUUCAUAAAUAAAUGUAUAUAAAACAUUAAAAGUUAAUUAUAUUUCAAUAUCUCCCCAACAAAAUAUAAUAACUAAUUAUAUUAUAAAAAAUCUUAAUAAAUAUAAUUAAUUAUUAUAUAAAGAUUUAUAGGGUCUUCUCGUCUAUUAAAUAAAUUUUAGCUUUUUAACUAAAAAAUAAAAUUCUAAUUUAAAUUUAAAUGAAACAGUUAAUAUUUCGUCCAACCAUUCAUUCCAGCCUUCGAUUANNAANACUAAUGAUUAUGCUACCUUUGNCNCAGUUAAUAUACUGCGGCCAUUUAAUAAAUCAGUGGGCAGGUCAAACUUUAAAUAUAAUUCUAAAAAACNUGUUUUUGUUAAACAGG